rnacentral:rRNA from 1 species
CCUACGGGUGGCAGCAGUGGGGAAUAUUGGGCAAUGGGCGCAAGCCUGACCCAGCAACGCCGCGUGAAGGAAGAAGGCUUUCGGGUUGUAAACUUCUUUUCUCAGGGACGAAGCAAGUGACGGUACAUGAGGAAUAAGCCACGGCGAACUACGUGCCAGCAGCCGCGGUAAUACGUAGGUGGCAAGCGUUAUGCGGAUUUACUGGGUGUAAAGGGCGUGUAGGCGGGACUGCAAGUCAGAUGUGAAAACACCGGGCUCAACCUGUGGACUGCAUUUGAAACUGGCGUUCUUGAGUACUGGAGAGGCAGGCGGAAUUCCUAGUGUAGCGGUGAAAUGCGUAGAUAUUAGGAGGAACACCAGUGGCGAAGGCGGUCUGCUGGACAGCAACUGACGCUGAGGCGCGAAAGCGUGGGGAGCAAACAGGAUUAGAUACCCUUGUAGUC